GGACGCAUCACUGGUGUUCGGGUUGUCAUGCCAAUGGCACUGCCCGGUAGCUAAAUGCGGAAGAGAUAAGUGCUGAAAGCAUCUAAGCACGAAACUUGCCCCGAGAUGAGUUCUCCCUGAGACUUUAGGUCUCCUGAAGGAACGUUGAAGACGACGACGUUGAUAGGCCGGGUGUGUAAGCGCAGCGAUGCGUUGAGCUAACCGGUACUAAUGAACCGUGAGGCUUAACCUUACAACGCCGAAGCUGUU
rnacentral:rRNA from 1 species